rnacentral:lncRNA from 1 species
AUCACGAAAUCUUAACAGAAACGUAGUUUGAGAAAAAAAGAAACAUUGUUUGACAUGACCAGAAAAAUUAUUUUGUGAUGGAUGCAGAUAUAAAAGCAGGCUGAUGUGGACUGCAAAAUACAGACAGGCGAUCCGCAGUCAUGAAAAAGAUACUGUUCUUUGUGGUCAUUUUUCUAGGAGUCUUGGUUUCCCUUUCUAACGGGAGAUGCCCUCCUCCUGGCGAUGCCGGGAUCUGCAUCACAAACUGCGGACCAGGCUUCCGCAAGUGUCCGGGAAACCAAAUAUGUUGCAGAAAUGGAUGCGGUGGAUUAGUCUGCACGAAGAGAAUGUCACACACCCGAGCCUAGAGGUGGUUUUGUAACUGCAACGAAUUUUAGAACUUAUUCUGCAUUCGAUUUCUUAUAUAGAACAUAUAAAGGCCUGAUUAAAAGUUUUUAAACCAUUAA